rnacentral:rRNA from 1 species
AAACCAACUGGGAUUACCUUAGUAACGGCGAGUGAAGCGGUAAAAGCUCAAAUUUGAAAUCUGGUACUUUCAGUGCCCGAGUUGUAAUUUGUAGAAUUUGUCUUUGAUUAGGUCCUUGUCUAUGUUCCUUGGAACAGGACGUCAUAGAGGGUGAGAAUCCCGUUUGGCGAGGAUACCUUUUCUCUGUAAGACUUUUUCGAAGAGUCGAGUUGUUUGGGAAUGCAGCUCAAAGUGGGUGGUAAAUUCCAUCUAAAGCUAAAUAUUGGCGAGAGACCGAUAGCGAACAAGUACAGUGAUGGAAAGAUGAAAAGAACUUUGAAAAGAGAGUGAAAAAGUACGUGAAAUUGUUGAAAGGGAAGGGCAUUUGAUCAGACAUGGUGUUUUUUAAAUGUGCAAGUCUCUCGUGGACAUGUGCCUCUGGAAAUUAACACUGGGCCAACAUCAGUUCUGGCGGCAGGAUAAAUCAUUAAGAAUGUAGCUACCUCGGUAGUGUUAUAGCUUUUUGGAAUACUG